rnacentral:lncRNA from 1 species
GCGGAGGGGCUGCGCUACCCGGUCUUGGGUUUUUCAUCGGGGAGUGGGAGUGGACUGAAGGCUUGGCCGCUCCGCCUCACUGAGCCGGCUCAGCCAGCGCAGCUGUUCCUGGAACGCCAGUCCCUUAGGAUGGGAGAGAGCGGAGAAGGCAAAGAGGAACAGACUGGGAAAGAGACUGGAUAGAUUCUAAUAUGGCUACAUCCUGGUGGGAGGCAGGACACUGAAGUACUUAGAACCCCUCAGAAUGGCCAGAUCCUGCUCAUGCUUGGGCUAGAAGAAUGGAACCUUUGUAAUUCUGGACUUGUAAAUGGAAACACAUCACUUACUGUGAACCACAUCCCAGACAGACAUGGGCAGGUGAAAACAAAUUCUUCCAGAUGGCCUGACAGCACCUGUCUACAGUACAGUAUUGAGGCACACAGGACCUUGGAAAUAAAAGGGAAUAUUACAAAUACUGCAGAGACACAAGGAUUAGUUGUUUGUUUGUUUAAGGUAAGCAGAGAUGAGCAAUUUGCUUUUCGGAUUCCAAAAAAGAUUUGUUCUCCUUCUUUAAAGCAGCAAUUCACGCCAGAGAC